GGCCCUGCUAUCGGAGUUCGAUUAAGCCAUGCGAGUCGAGAGGUGCAAGACCUCGGCAUACUGCUCAGUAACACGUGGACAAUCUACCCUAUGGAGGGGGAUAACCCCGGGAAACUGGGGAUAAUACCCCAUAGACUAUAGAUGCUGGAAUGCUUUGUAGUUGAAAGGUCCGCCGCCAUAGGAUGGGUCUGCGGCCGAUUAGGUUGUUGUUGGGGUAACGGCCCAACAAGCCUGUAAUCGGUACGGGUUGUGGGAGCAAGAGCCCGGAGAUGGAUUCUGAGACACGAAUCCAGGCCCUACGGGGCGCAGCAGGCGCGAAAACUUUACAAUGCGGGAAACCGUGAUAAGGGAACUCCGAGUGCCCGUAAAAUCGGGCUGUCCAUCUGUUUAAAUAACAGGUGAAGAAAGGGCCGGGCAAGACCGGUGCCAGCCGCCGCGGUAAUACCGGCGGCUCGAGUGGUGGCCACUAUUACUGGGCUUAAAGCGUUCGUAGCUGGUCUGUUAAGUCUCUGGGGAAAUCUACUGGCUUAACCAAUAGGCGUCUCAGGGAUACUGGCAGACUAGGGACCGGGAGAGGUGAGAGGUACUCCAGGGGUAGGAGUGAAAUCCUGUAAUCCUUGGGGGACCACCUGUGGCGAAGGCGUCUCACCAGAACGGCUCCGACAGUGAGGGACGAAAGCUGGGGGAGCAAACCGGAUUAGAUACCCGGGUAGUCCCAGCCGUAAACGAUGCGCGUUAGGUGUAUCGGUGACCACGAGUCACCGAGGUGCCGAAGAGAAAUCGUGAAACGUGCCGCCUGGGAAGUACGGUCGCAAGGCU
rnacentral:rRNA from 1 species